UUGUGCUUGGUUUUAUCCUAUGACUCUGAGUUAUCCAGCCUCUGGUUCUGUCAAUGGUGCUGUCUGGUGGCAUAAGUCUAUUUUGAGGAUAGACUGAAAUCAGAUUCACUGUUCUUCCAAAGGCCAGCAACCUGGAACAUAGAGAAGGACUAAGUUCUCUCUACAGAAUGACAUUAACUACAUGUGUCAUAGAUCCAGAAAUAAGGACAUCAUCUGCUUGAAAACAUUAAGUUGCUGAUUUAAGUGAUCUGUUAUUUCAAAAGAAAUAUACAGGCCUAUAAUGGUA